rnacentral:lncRNA from 1 species
GAGUUACGAGAUUCUCUGGGUUGCAUGAAGAUCUACUAAUAACUUUCUCGCCAAGUAAUUUGGCGUCAUUGGCUCAUUCUUAUUUCUGGAACUGUGGUUGAAGAGUGGUAUGUUUUUGAUCCUUGUUUGUUUUUAGAUGUGCGCAAUGGCAAAUUUCAGGUUAUUCGUCAAAUACCCAAGGUUUCUAUUUCUCUGAUUAGUGCAGUUUAUUUGACAGAUGUGUAAUGCUGUUUGUUGAAAAAUGCAUUAGAACCAAUGAUGGUAAGAGCUUGGCCUAGCAAAUUGGUAAAAUAUUACCUGCUCUUAAUUACUGAAUCAUAUUGUAGGAUAAAAUCUGCUGUUUAUGUAUGAAAAUUUGUACUUUAUCUCUGAUUAUGUGGUAUAUGCCCAGAAUUUCAUUAUUAAUGAUCGAUUCAUUAAAAUUAUUUUUAAUUGUCUACUUUGUUUUGUGUUGCUGCUGCUCAUUCUGCAUUUUUUUUUUUUUGGGGGGGGAGUAGAUAUAAAAAUUAAUUCUUGUUUUUUCUUUUUUUUUCCCUCCAUGUCUCUUUUUAUUGUGCUAGUAAAUUUCUGACUGAACUCAUUUCAAGUUGAAUGUGGUAUUUUCUUUAGCUCAUGUAGAGAUUCAUCAAGUUUUUGCUGGUAAAUUUUUGACAAAAUUUCAAGUAAAUGUGCCGUUUUUACUUAGUUUGCAUAAAAAUUGUUCUUCUUUAUGCCUCUUUUGAAUAAAUAUGUCAAUUCUUGUUUGUAUUAUUUAAUAUCUUGUUUUGCAUAUUAACACAGUUUAUUUAACAGAUUGAGAUGCGAGAAUAUUCAUUAAAACUAAUGCGGGUAAGUUCUUGGCCUAACAGAUUGGUAAAAGAUUUUCUGAUCUUAAUUACUGAAUUUUAUUAUAUUCUAGGAUAAAAGUCUGCUUUUUACGUGUGAAAAUUUUUAUUUUAUCUGAUUAUGUGCCAAAUUUGAUGAUUCAAGAAAAAUGCCAUUUCUGUGUGUAGCUAGUUCGUUGUUGCUGUUCGUCAUGCAGUUCUUUUGAAUAUGUAUCAGUUUGAAAAUUUAUUCAUACAUGUGUAUUUUUCUCAUCCAUUUUUGCUGUGCACUUUUCCUGUGAAUAUUAUUUUUAUUUAGUCUAUAUAGAAUUUCCUCUUUGUAUUUUUUUUUGAAUAAGUAUGAUAAUUAGUUCUUGUUUGUGUUAUUUUAAUGCCCAACAAUUCACUUUCGAAUGUUUGUUAAUUAUAGAAGCUAAUUUUACUUUCUGCUUGCAGUUUUUAACUCUCUACCUUUUAUCCAGACAUUAAUAACAUCUGCCUUUUCAUUUCUAAACUUAAAAUAUCGCAGUCGGGAAAAGGUUUCAAUUUGAAAAGUAGUGGCUUUUCUAAUUGCAAGAAUUUCUCUUCAGAAUUAUAAUUAACAUAAGCUGUGCAUUCUCUGCUGAGUAUUUCAUUUCUCGAAAAGUCUAGUAGACCUUUUAAAUCGCAAUUUUAAUCUUUAAUUUUUUGGAUAUAAUUAAGAACGAAUUCAUUUGGAAGCAAUUUAAAAAAUAAAGGCAUUAAAAUAUUUCUGUAUAAGUCAGUAUAUUUUUAAUGUUGCCGUGCAGCGUAAAAGCAUCUCUACUUUCUCCCAGAAGUCUUGCUAUUUUUCAGAUUUCAAGGUUGACUUCUGUGCCUUGUUUUGCAGAUUAACAUGCUUUAUUUGAUUGCAUAGAAGUUAACUUUUCGUAAAAAGGCCUUAAUUAUAGUAUCAUUAUUGGUAAAUUCAAUGCUUAAACAGAUUGGUGAAAUGUUUGACCUUAACUACUGAAUUCUGCUAAUUAUAUGGGAUAUGUCCAUAAUUUAAAUUUUCUCCUAGUAAAUCGAUCAGUUGGAACAAAAUGUGAAAUGAAUUUAUUAAAGAGUAUGUCAUUUGCUGUAUUCAUAAAUUUCCAGCCAUGCAUAUCAUUUAAUAAUUAUUUAUUUUUAGGAUAAAAAAAAGUAGUAGCAGAUGGUCCUACCAAUUUGAAUAAAUAUGGAAUUUAGUUUU